rnacentral:rRNA from 1 species
AAUUGUUCGCCAAACAACUACGAGUCCCACUUAAAACUUAAAAGACUUGACGGUACUUCAUCACGGCCUAGAGGAGCCUGUCUAAUAACCGACAAUCCACGAUUAACCCCACCUCUUCUCGCCCUACAGUNUAUAUACCGCCGUCGCCAGCUUACCUUGUAAAAGAAAUAAAGUGAGCUAAAUAGUACUACACUAAGACGACAGGUCGAGGUGUAACCCAUGAAGAGGGUUAGGAUGGGCUACAUUCUCCAACCAAGAAUACGAAUAACACUAUGAAAUUAAUGUUUGAAGACGGAUUUAGCAGUAAGAUAAGAAUAAAACGCCUAACUGAACAUAACGCAAUGAAGUGCGUACACACCGCCCGUCACCCCUGUCACCACAAUAUUAACCCUUAAUAAACCAACUAAGAAACUAAAACAGGGCAAGUCGUAACAAGG